rnacentral:lncRNA from 1 species
AAACUUUUUCAAUUUAUUUCAAAUUGCAGCUCUCCAUUAAGCAAUCUUUGCCAAAUUGGUCUACCCCCAGACUCAGGUAACUACUGUUCUUUUUUUCUGUUGUCUCUGUGCACCAUGCAUCCGAAUUUCAGGUUACGAAACCCCUGUCUUAAGGAGAGGGGUAGUUAUCUGUCUCCACAGCAGUCAGACUGAUCCCGUCUACUCCAGUGUGACCCAGUGUCAUGAGCCAGGCAGCGACAGGAUCUUUCAUUGCUUAUUUUAAAGCCUUCUUCAAUUCAAGCUCUUCAGGGAUGAGUAGUCCCUAGUAUCAAAGGUACUUUUGUAUGGGACUAUCAUUAAACCAUGUCCCCCUCCAAGUUGGAUCACAGAUUUUCUCAUCUUUUCUAUUAAAGGUUAGACCUAUGUGUCUUUUCUCAUUUUUACCAAAGUCUCUUUCUUUUCUUCUUUCUCAUGCUUCUGUUCUUUCCUUGGGUUCCAAGUUCUUGGAUCCCAGGAAGGGCCCUUCAGCACUCACAUAACCUGUACUUUCCCCAGCUAUAAUAAGUGGCAAACCAACACCUCUAACUCAUCCUUUCUUUUAUCAAAUUCACCUGCUAAAUCAGUGGCCAACAUGGAGGAUGCUAGCUGUGGCUGCCUUUCUUAUAAUUCCUCCUUUACACCAACAGGUUCCUGCUGGGCUGCAGUUCCUGCCCCAAAGCAUUUUUAUCUCAUAGCAGCAGCCCAGCAACUUCCAUAGCUGGCUACUGAUACUCUCUGCCCUUCUGCGCUACUCUCAAAGACUAACAUUUGAAACCUUUCGCUGUUCUCAGGCAUCUCCACAUUCAAGUGUUAGAUUCCACUCAUCAGGCAGGGAUGCUACCCCAAACCAGAGAGUUGAAGACUGCCUUCCUGGGAUCCCUCUCACAGACACUCCACCCAUGGCUCUGCCUUAGUUACACAUCUCACCUCUCCUAGCAGGAACCAUGAAACCAAUGCAGUAGCAAAAAGGCACGCUAGCGCACACCGUAUGGAUUGAGGUUGUGGUGGUUUCCAGUGAGGAGACUGCUUUGUGGAAUUUCCUCCUUAGAUGACCCCCCAUCCACCCCACCCGCAGCUUGCUCGGCCUCAAUUGUAUGGCUUGCUUUAUAUAAACAAGAUCACACAAUUGCUCCUCUCCAACUCAUCUUUGCUCCUGUCAGGUCCCUGUUGGGGCACUGAAGUUUGUUGUGACACACUUUUGGGGGGAAUGAAACACAUACUCAUCUACUUGACCCAAGAAAGGGAGCCUAUGGCAGACAAAAGUAACAACUGCACCAAAGUCCAACUUGGUGAAGCAGCUGUGAGCUUUAAUUGGGGUCACC